rnacentral:rRNA from 1 species
UACGGAGGAUCCGAGCGUUAUCCGGAUUUAUUGGGUUUAAAGGGUGCGUAGGCGGCUUUAUAAGUCAGGGGUGAAAUACGGCAGCUCAACUGUCGCAGUGCCUUUGAUACUGUAGAGCUUGAAUGUGGUUGAAGAUGGCGGAAUGAGACAAGUAGCGGUGAAAUGCAUAGAUAUGUCUCAGAACACCGAUUGCGAAGGCAGCUGUCUAAGCCAUAAUUGACGCUGAUGCACGAAAGCGUGGGGAUCAAAC